UCCGGUGGCGAUGCGCUUAGGGGAAACACCCGUUCCCAUCCCGAACACGAUGGUUAAGACCUAAGCGGCCGAUGGUACUAUGCUGGAGACGGCAUGGGAGAGCAGGUGGCUGCCGGAU
rnacentral:rRNA from 2 species